UACGUAGGGGGCAAGCGUUGUCCGGAAUUAUUGGGCGUAAAGAGCGUGUAGGCGGCCAGAUAAGUCCGCUGUGAAAUCUCGAGGCUCAACUUCGAGCUGUCGGUGGAAACUAUCUGGCUAGAGUCCGGAAGAGGAGAAUGGAAUUCCUGGUGUAGCGGUGAAAUGCGCAGAUAUCAGGAGAACACCCGUGGCGAAGGCGGUUCUCUGGGACGGUACUGACGCUGAGACGCGAAAGCGUGGGGAGC
rnacentral:rRNA from 1 species